rnacentral:rRNA from 1 species
UACGAAGGGUGCAAGCGUUACUCGGAAUUACUGGGCGUAAAGCGUGCGUAGGUGGUUUGUUAAGUCUGUUGUGAAAGCCCCGGGCUCAACCUGGGAAUGGCAAUGGAUACUGGCAAGCUAGAGUGCGGUAGAGGGUAGUGGAAUUCCCGGUGUAGCGGUGAAAUGCGUAGAGAUCGGGAGGAACACCAGUGGCGAAGGCGGGUUGCUGGGCCGACACUGACGCUGAGGCGCGAAAGCCAGGGGAGCGAACGGG